rnacentral:ncRNA from 1 species
CAGGUUGAUUCUGCCUGACGUAGACGCUAUACUCUAAGAUUAACCCAUGCAUGUUUAUUGAAUAUAAAGAAAAGACGAACAGCUCAGUAACUCUUAUUUGAUUUGAUGUAUUAGGAUUCUAACUAUGUUAAAUUAUAGGUAACAAUAAUACAAUAAGAAUAAGAUCUAUCAGUUAGUUGUUAAGGUAAUGGCUUAACAAGACUAUGACGGAUAACGGUAUUACUUUGUAAUAUUCCGGAGAAGGAGCCUGAGAGAUUGCUACUAAGUCUAAGGAUUGCAGCAGGGGCGAAACUUGACCUAUGAUAUUAUAUUGAGGCAGUUAUGAGUAGUAUUUUAUAAUUAUUGUAGUAUUGUAAGUACAUAUUACAAGAUAAAUCGGAGGGCAAUCGAGUGCCAGCAGCCGCGGUAAUACUUGUUCCGAUAGUGUGUAUGAUGAUUGAUGCAGUUAAAAAGUCUGUAGUUUAUUUUAUAAUAAGCAUUGUAAGGUAUACUGUAUGGUUAGGAGAGAGAUGAAAUGUGAUAACCCUAACUGGAUGCAACAGAAGCGAAAGCUGUAUACUUAAAUGUAUUAUUAGAACAAGGACGUAAGCUAGAGGAUCGAAGAUGAUUAGAUACCAUUGUAGUUCUAGCAGUAAACUAUGUUGAAUCAUAGAUAUAUUUUGAUAUAUAUUUAUGUAGAGAAAUUAAGAUUAUAUUGACUCUG